GACGAACGCUGGCGGCGUGCUUAACACAUGCAAGUCGAACGUGAUUUUUGUGGAAAUUCUUUCGGGAAUGGAAAUGAAAUGAAAGUGGCGAACGGGUGAGUAACACGUGAGCAACCUACCUUACACAGGGGGAUAGCCGUUGGAAACGACGAUUAAUACCGCAUGAGACCACAGAAUCGCAUGAUAUAGGGGUCAAAGAUUUAUCGGUGUAAGAAGGGCUCGCGUCUGAUUAGCUAGUUGGAAGGGUAAAGGCCUACCAAGGCGACGAUCAGUAGCCGGUCUGAGAGGAUGAACGGCCACAUUGGAACUGAGACACGGUCCAAACUCCUACGGGAAGCAGCAGUGGGGAAUAUUGCACAAUGGGGGGAACCCUGAUGCAGCGACGCCGCGUGAGCGAAGAAGGUUUUCGAAUCGUAAAGCUCUGUCCUAUGAGAAAAUAAUGACGGUAUCAUAGGAGGAAGCCCCGGCUAAAUACGUG
rnacentral:rRNA from 1 species